rnacentral:rRNA from 1 species
AACGAACGCUGGCGGCGUGCUUAACACAUGCAAGUCGAACGGCAAGGCCCUGCUUUUGUGGGGUGCUCGAGUGGCGAACGGGUGCGUAACACGUGAGUAACCUGACCUUGACUUUGGGGUAACUUCAGGAAGCUGGGGUUACUCCCGGAUCGGAGCUCAUGCUGCAUGGUGGGGGUUGGAACGUUUCGGCGGUUGGGGAUGGACUCGCGGCUUAUCAGCUUGUUGGUGGGGUAGUGGCUUACCAAGGCGUUGACGGGUCGCCGGCCUGAGAGGGUGACCGGCCACAUUGGGACUGAGAUACGGCCCAGACUCCUACGGGAGGCAGCAGUGGGGAAUAUUGCACAAUGGGCGGAAGCCUGAUGCAGCAACGCCGCGUGCGGGAUGACGGCCUUCGGGUUGUAAACCGCUUUCGCCUGUGACGAAGCGUGAGUGACGGUAAUGGGUAAAGAAGCACCGGCUAACUACGUG